rnacentral:tRNA from 1 species
GAGGGUAUAGCUCAGUGGUAGAGCACGUGCUUAGCAUGCACGAGGUCCUGGGUUCAAUCCCCAGUACCUUCG